AGGCGGUGAUGUUGAAACAUAUACCAUCAAACUAUGAAAGCCUUGCUAUUUGGCUUGUUGAUGCGAAUUACUAACUAUUCUGAGCCU